rnacentral:rRNA from 2 species
UGCAAGUCGAGCGAACUGAUUAGAAGCUUGCUUCUAUGACGUUAGCGGCGGACGGGUGAGUAACACGUGGGCAACCUGCCUGUAAGACUGGGAUAACUUCGGGAAACCGAAGCUAAUACCGGAUAGGAUCUUCUCCUUCAUGGGAGAUGAUUGAAAGAUGGUUUCGGCUAUCACUUACAGAUGGGCCCGCGGUGCAUUAGCUAGUUGGUGAGGUAACGGCUCACCAAGGCAACGAUGCAUAGCCGACCUGAGAGGGUGAUCGGCCACACUGGGACUGAGACACGGCCCAGACUCCUACGGGAGGCAGCAGUAGGGAAUCUUCCGCAAUGGACGAAAGUCUGACGGAGCAACGCCGCGUGAGUGAUGAAGGCUUUCGGGUCGUAAAACUCUGUUGUUAGGGAAGAACAAGUACAAGAGUAACUGCUCGUACCUUGACGGUACCUAACCAGAAAGCCACGGCUAACUACGUGCCAGCAGCCGCGGA